CCCUUAGAUGUUCUGGGCCGCACGCGCGCUACACUGACACACUCAACAAGCUUAUAACCUUGUCCGAGAGGUCUGGGUAAUCUUUUGAAUGUGCAUCGUGAUUGGGAUAGAUGAUUGCAAUUUUUUAUCUUCAACGAGGAAUGCCUAGUAAACGCAAGUCAUCAGCUUGCAUUGAUUACGUCCCUGCCCUUUGUACACACCGCCCGUCGCUCCUACCGAUUGAAUGAUCCGAUGAAUAUCAUGGAUUGAGGAUGCAAGUAGGUUAGCCUAUCUUCAUCUUCGAGAAGUGAAGUAAAUCUUAUCAUUUAGAGGAAGGAGAAGUCGUAACA
rnacentral:rRNA from 1 species